rnacentral:rRNA from 1 species
UGCCUGUACCAUAACCGACACAGGUGGGUAGGUAGAGUAUACUAAGGGGCGCGAGAUAACUCUCUCUAAGGAACUCGGCAAAAUGACUCCGUAACUUCGGGAGAAGGAGUGCCUUAUUUAUAAGGUUGCAAUAACAAGAUCCAAGCAACUGUUUAUCAAAAACACAGGUCUCCGCUAAGUCGUAAGACGAUGUAUGGGGGCUGACGCCUGCCCAGUGCCAGAAGGUUAAAGAAGUUGGUUAGUGUAUGCGAAGCUGAUGACUGAAGCCCUGGUGAACGGCGGCCGUAACAAUAACGGUCCUAAGGUAGCGAAAUUCCUUGUCGGGUAAGUUCCGACCCGCACGAAAGGCGUAAUGAUUUGGAUACUGUCUCGGAGAGAGGCUCGGUGAAAUAGACUUGUCUGUGAAGAUGCGGACUACCUGCACCAGGACAGAAAGACCCUAUGAAGCUUUACUGUAACUUGAAAUUGGAAUUGGACUUUGCUUGCGCAGUAUAGGUGGGAAGCGUUGAAAAUAUUCUUGCGGGAGUAUUGGAGCUAUCAGUGAGAUACCACUCUUGUAAUGUUAGGUUUCUAACUUUGAACCAUAAUCUGGUCAAAGAACAGUUUCAGGUGGGCAGUUUGACUGGGGCGGUCGCCUCCCAAAUGGUAACGGAGGCGUACAAAGGUUUCCUCUGAACGGAUAGAAAUCGUAUCUAGAGUGUAAAGGCAUAAGGAAGCUUGACUGUGAGACCUACAAGUCGAGCAGGGACGAAAGUCGGUCUUAGUGAUCUGACGGUACUGAGUGGAAAGGCCGUCACUCAACGGAUAAAAGUUACUCUAGGAUAACAGGCUGAUCUCCCCCUAGAGUUCACAUCGACGGGGAGGUUUGGCACCUCGAUGUCGGCUCAUCGCAUCCUGGGGCGGUAGUACGUCCCAAGGGUUGGGCUGUUCGCCCAUGAAAUCGGUACGCGAGCUGGGUUCAGAACGUCGUGAGACAGUUCGGUCCAUAUCCGGUGUAGGCGCUAGAAUAUUGAGAGGAGCCUUCUUUAGUACGAGAGGACCGAGAAGGACACACCGCUGGUGUACCAGUUAUCGUGCCAACGGUAAACGCUGGGUAGCUAUGUGUGGAGUGGAUAACCGCUGAAAGCAUCUAAGUGGGAAGCCCACCUCAAGAUGAGUACUCUCAUGGUGUUAAGCCAGUAAGGUCACGGGAAGACUACCCGUUGAUAGGCUCUAGAUGGAAGCGUGGUGACAU